rnacentral:lncRNA from 1 species
AAGGCAGAGUGGCCUCUGUGGCCAGGGAGCCGCAGGCAAGGGACUAAGGGGAGGGGGGCUCAGUGCCAGCUGCUUAAAAAUGCCCCUGUGGCAGCGAGGGGCACCAGAGGCUGGGUCUAAUUAGUUGAGAAGCAGUGACACCCCCAACCACUCCCCAAACAGGCUGGCUCCCGUCUCCAGGCCCCAAGGAGCCACACCUGGACCAGACCCCAGGAAAGGCAAGGGCGCUAGCUGGUGGGAGCCACCCCGCCAUGCUGAUGUCAGAGAAGCAAGAACUCUGGAGAAGCAGCCUCCUGGGACCAGAGGAGGGCCAGCAGCAGGCAGCCCGGAGACAGAACUCUCACCCACGCCUCUCCAAGCCUCCCAACAGAAGACAGAGGUCCCCCACAGCCAGAGACAUUUCCUGAAGACAUGGGGAACACAGAGGCAGAAACAGCCCAUCCACCCAGGAGCUGUCCCCCACACUGCCGGGAGCCGGCACCCAGAGCCGCCAGGUAAAACUGAGGCCACCUGGUUCAACAUCACCUUUCACAGAAGGGGAAGCAGCCACAGAAAGAAGGGCCUCGUUAAGAAGUGGAACCUGGGACCCCCAAGCGGUGUCUCUCAUCCUGACUGGGGAUCCAGAGUAGGAGGGAGCCUUUGGUGGGACACAAAGGAACAGAACGAGGCACCAACAGCAAGGGGCAAGCAGAUUCAAGGGCCACAGAGGAGAUGGAGGCAAACACCUUCCCCUGGUCAGAGGCUGUGCCUCAGCCCUUCUCCCUGCAUCAGUUUCUCCUUCAGAAGCAUGGGACUACCUCCCAUCUAGUUCUCGUUUCUAAACCUAGGGGAGAUGCUAUCUUUGCUGCAAUAAUCUUAGCCUACAUCUUGGAAUGGAAAUGGCCUUGGUGGAAAUGGUCUUCAACUCCUCUGGUCCAAGCUCAGGCCCUGUGACCCUGGAACAAUCCCCUUCCUGGUCCUCCAUGUAGGAGCAAUAACAUUCCCUUGCCAGCAGCACCAGCCAUUCUGAUGAUUAAAUGGUAUCGGACUCUGUUUUCCAAACUCAGUCAUUCAGAUGCCCCCUAUUUUAUUUCUUCCAUGUCUGCAAAUGAUUAUAAUAUUUUUAAAUGUAGGAUGAGUCCUUUUUAUUACACAUAGAAAUAGCUACUGUAAAUAGCAAACUCUAACACUGUGCCUAAUUAGGAAAUAAAGGUAACCAUAAAUACAGUAAAAAUGAAACAA